UACAUUCAGCAACACUAGUGAAGCAACACUUUCAAUACUGUUACAAUAGUAUAUAUAAGGCAACAGAAACGCUACGGUUAAAAACCGUUGCAAAGAAAUUAACAAAAUUCAAAAAUUUACAACAUAAGACAACAAAUAUGGAAAACUGUUGCAUUACACUAACAAAAUGCAACAGUUUGACUAAAUCUAGCAACACUUUUAAACCGUUGCUUUUUAUUAUCUCAUUUUAAAUUAUAUUUUCAACUGUAUUAUAAGUCCUAAUAAACAAUAAACUAUUUAAAAUCAGUAAAUAACUUAAUCAGACUCUAAAAUAAUCAAACCAAUACAAAUCUACAAUCAGUAAACAACUUAAGCUUCAUCCAUAUUCUCUGAUAGAGUCCAAAACUUUUACUGUACAAAAAUGAUGAUGUUACCCUACCAAAUUAGAUAAUCAAAAUUUUCUAUCGACUCUCUGUUGCAUCUCUCUUGUGCAACCCUAUCUUUUCUAGGGUUUAAUCAAAAAGUCUCUCAUUUUCUCAAACAAAUCGCUCUAAAAAUCUCUGUCUCUCAAGUAAAACUCUCACCGAUGUCUCUAUUUCUAUUAUCCUUGUUCUCACUCGCAAUAAUUUUGUACUCUCUAACCUGGAUUUACCUUUUGUUUUGUUUUAGAUGCGUUGAUUUUUACAUGAACUCUAUCGCAAGUAAUGGACACUGGCAUAACAUAUCACUAACUUAAAGAACAGUUGUUUUGUGCAACUUAUUUGGAGAUUUGCUUUGAACCUAGCACCACUUCUUGUGGACCCAGUUUCCGUAAGAAAUGCUUAAGAUCUGCCACUAAUAAAUGUGGGAAGAAAUGUCCAAAAUUCAAACAACUAAUAAGGUCUGAAUCCCACAAUCUUCAUUCGAGAUGAACCUAUAACAUCCAAGUCCAGAGAUGGAAAUGUUUCCUCAUCUUCCCCUAAUCCUUAAUCGAGUUUAAAUAAUGGGCCACAAUUAUAUCAUUUUAUAAUUGUGCAUAUAUCUAUGACUACAUAUCUAAGUUUAUGUACCUUGCAUAUAUCAAAGUUUGUUUGUAAGGAUUUUUUGAGUUAUUGUAUUAAUUCAGCAAUGAUUCUCUUAGGUACGUGAUUUGGUUAUUGGGAAAUGGAAAGAAAGGUAAUGACAGUGAUGCUUCCCUUCUUUUUGUUAUGUGAUAUUAACCUAUGUGCUUUCACAUAAUUGCUCAAUAAUUAUCUUAUGAAUAUUUGGAAAGAACACACAUAUAAUUGAGCUGAUUGAAAAACCAGAAGUGAAGCAACUUUAAGAAACACCACAAUGACUAAUUUUUUUGUGAUUGUAUCAGAUAAACAAAGAGAACCGGGAGCUUCUCAGGUCGAAAUUAAAGCUUUGAAAACCAUAGAAGUUUCAAAGGAUGAGGCUCUUGAAGAGGUAUUGGAAAACCAUAAACAAGAGUUGCUGUCGGCGGUGGCGCUUUUGCUAGUAAAAAUGGAACCAAAGUUCAUAUUCCUGCGGCAAUGAACUGAUACGGAGAAUUAAAGAGCGCCCUGCUCAAAUCCUUGCUGCAACUAACAUGGACGAUCAAGAACUCACAUAAAGCAUGAAAAAGCUUUUGAUUGUCAUGCAAAGAGUGGAUUAAUAAAAGCUGCUCUGAUGCUAGAAGGAGAUGGAGAACUUUUCAGUAAGAGGUAUGCAGAUAUAUACAACUCUAAGGUCUCGAAUUUCCUAAACUAUACACUAUUCAUGUACUUCAACUCGCCGGAAGAGACGUUGGCUCAAUUUUGAGCGACAGAUCCUCUAGUUAAGUACUCGUUCUUUAUACACAUUUAUCUUAUUACGUAUAUGUUUGCAUAUUUUGAGUAUCAUUGUAUGUGGUUUUGCAGGGUUUCAGGAAGAUAUUUGUAGAAAAUGAUUACGUAGCAGAAAAGGCGCUCAAUAUUUAGAAGUAUAAUCGUUUUUUUGAUAAAUAUUUUGGUGAACAUUUUCUGUUUGUAAUGUAAUGGAUGGAUGGAAUAUUUUUCGAUUUUGAAUUUUAUGAAUAUUUUCCGUUUUCUAA